UCUCUCCUGCAGGGCCUGCCCGGGAUCCGUGGAGAGCGCGGGGACAAGGGAGACGUUGGGGCCGUGGGGCCCAAAGGAGACAAGGGCGACACCGUCAUGGUGGAGGGGCCUGCUGGAGCGCGGGGCAGCAAGGGGGAGCCGG